rnacentral:rRNA from 1 species
GAUGAACGCUAGCUCCAGGCUUAACACAUGCAAGUCGAGGGGAAACGACAUCGAAAGCUUGCUUUUGAUGGGCGUCGACCGGCGCACGGGUGAGUAACGCGUAUCCAACCUGCCCAUCACUUGGGAAUAACCUUGCGAAAGUAAGACUAAUACCCAAUGAUAUCCCACGAAGGCAUCGGAAUGGGAUUAAAGAUUUAUCGGUGAUGGAUGGGGAUGCGUCUGAUUAGCUUGUUGGCGGGGUAACGGCCCACCAAGGCAACGAUCAGUAGGGGUUCUGAGAGGAAGGUCCCCCACAUUGGAACUGAGACACGGUCCAAACUCCUACGGGAGGCAGCAGUGAGGAAUAUUGGUCAAUGGGCGAGAGCCUGAACCAGCCAAGUAGCGUGCAGGAAGACGGCCCUAUGGGUGGUAAACUGCUUUUAUAAGGGAAUAAAGUGGGUCACGUGUGACUUUUUGCAUGUACCUUAUGAAUAAGGACCGGCUAAUUCCGUG